rnacentral:rRNA from 1 species
UUUGACAUGACAUUCUCUUAUGUCGCUGCUGGAUGGGAGGGUUCUGCAUCGGAUCAAGCUGUUCUAAGAUGGGCUGUGACUAGUGGGGGUUUAGUUGUUCCUGAAGGUAAAUUUUACCUUGUUGAUUCAGGCUACGCAAAUACUCCCAGAUUUAUUGCCCCGUAUCGUGGAGAUCGCUAUCAUAUUGCUUCUAUUCGUGGAAGUAAUCGGCGAUAUACUGGUGAGAAGGACUUGUUCAACCAUCUACAUGCACAAUUGCGGAAUGUUGUUGAACGAACUUUUGGUGUUCUAAAAGCUCGUUUUUCAAUUCUAAGUAGGAAAGGAGGAAUUCCUUAUCCAUACAGAACUCAAGUGAAAAUUGUUAUGGCUUGU